GAAUCAUGUGAGACAAGGGUGGUGGCCGCUCUGGAGGUGCCUGGGGGGUUCCCUCAUUACCCCUCUGGGCUUAGUCCAUCCUCCACACUGUUGUGCAGCUUCUCCACCUCCUGGUAGAGGAUAAAUACUGUUACCCUUAUCCCUGGUCACAUCCAGGGAGACGCGUCCAGCGGCCAGGCGGGGACAGUGCCGUUCUAGAGGUCCUUGAGCCCCUCCUUCCUCAGGAUCUGCAGCCAUAGGCCGGUGUGUUCCGCGUUUGUGCUGCUCCAGGCCCCGCAUCCGGUCUCGAUCCCAUCCAGAGGAGCGUUUCCCAAGACACUGGCUGCGCCCACAAUGGCUCCGAAGACCCCAGCGACCAGCGGGUCCAUGGGCUUGCUGGGGUUGUCCCCUCGGUACCAGCUGUGCAGGGAGGUCAGGAGGAGAAGCAGACGGCCUGGUUCCAGCCCUGCUUUAGCGUGGGUGCCAUGAGGCCCCGGUGAGUCCCCUUGUUCUCGCACAAUCUCUCUAACCUGGUGGGAGACUCCUCUGCACUGGAGGUCUGGGAAGGUCUGGCCGUGGAUGAACUUCACCUUGAUGGUGUCCAUGGAACAUACGACCACCAUGGCCUCGGCCACGCCAGCGCCCUGGCCGCACCGCAGCCAGCGCUGCCGUCAGGCCGUCCCUGGGCAUCCCGCGUCUGGCUGCUGUGGAACUGGAACAUUCAGAACCCAACGCCGCCCUGGAGACAAGAGCCGCAGAGCAGGGAGCCGAGGCCGCGGUGCCGGCCCGGGACGCCAUGACCGCGACAGUGCGCACGCGGGAUCCAUGCGCGGUGCCCGGCUGGUGCCAGCGCUCGUCCGGCUGCAGCUACGACCUCCCGCGCUCCGUGGGGAGCGGACGCCCAUUUCAAUGCCGCCGGCCAGGCCGCCUGCUGGUGUCGCCUUCCCCGGAGCCUCCGCUGGGCCUUCCCGGACGCGGCGCGGCGUGGCCACGGCGGGCGGGAGGCGGGCGCCCGCUGUGAUCUGAAGUCCCAGCCUCCUAAACUCCGCACUGGGACCUUAAUUUGGUUUUAACACAAAUGAAGAUCUCACUAAAGAUAAAAAGGGAUGUCUUGGCUUCUAAUUUUUGUUAAAAGCAAUAGCAUAUGUUGUAUAGGAUAGUGCAUUGGGAUUAGGCCUCAUGUUAUAUAGGAGAGAUGUGAGGGCUGUGUCUCCAGAGUUGCAGUAGUGGAUGGGAUAGUGGUCCCUCCCCAUCAGCACUGUGGGACGUUUAAAGUAUUGCUGUGUGUUUCAAGUGGAGGAGGUCAUAUUACAACUGACAUUUGUCCUUGACUACUGGACAUAUCACACCAGCCCUGAUUGCAGUUAUACUUGAAGCCAGAUCUACCCUUAACGUAUAUUCAUUUUACUAUUCAAUAAAUAUUAACUUAUCAUGAAUGGU
rnacentral:lncRNA from 1 species